CACGUAGGGGGCAAGCGUUGUCCGGAUUUAUUGGGCGUAAAGAGCUCGUAGGCGGCUUAGUAAGUCGGGUGUGAAACCUCCAGGCUCAACCUGGAGACGCCACCCGAUACUGCUGUGGCUAGAGUCCGGUAGGGGAGCGUGGAAUUCCUGGUGUAGCGGUGAAAUGCGCAGAUAUCAGGAAGAACACCCGUGGCGAAGGCGGCUCUCUGGGACGGUACUGACGCUGAGACGCGAAAGCGUGGGGAGCAAACAGG
rnacentral:rRNA from 1 species